ACGUGGCCCCAGGCCGAGGCCCGGGUCGGGGCCCCAUGUUCAGAGCCCUGCCACCCCAGCUUGAGCGUGGUCUUUGGAGCGUUGCCCUGUGAAAAGGGGUGACUUUGCCAUGCUCCUUCCCAGUCUACCUCCUGUUAGUUACAGUUUCUCAUUCCUCUUGAGUAGCAGGCCCUGUUUCUCCACCUAAUCCCUGCAAGUAAACCGUCCCCCAAAUCAAAAUGAGUUCCAUCUGGAACUUUGUAGGAUUGGUCCUAAGAAGAUCCCGCCGAAUCUCUUCACCACUUCCUAGCAGAGCACAGUAAAACCGGGGACUAAGCAAAGUGGCUGACAUGUAGUAAGUGCUCAAGAAAUGGAUGUUGACUAGAUGCUACCUCUCAUCUUUGCCUGUCUGAACUCUCAAGCACCGGAUGCAAGUAGACUGAGAGCCUCCGCCAACCAGCACAGUCUCACUCUCUUACCCAAUCUGGAGUGCAGUGGUGUGAUCUCGGCUCACUGCAACCUCUGCCUCAUGGGUUCAAGCAAUUCUCCUGCCUCAGCCUCCCAAGUAGCUGGGAUUACAGGUACGUGCCACCACACCCAGCUAAUUUUCAUACUGUCAGCAGAGACGAGGUUUCACCAUGUUGGCCAGGCUGGUCUUGAACUCCUGACCUCAAGUGAUCUGCCUGCCUCGGCCUCCCAAAGUGCUGUGAUUACAGGCAUGAGCCACUGUGCCUGGCCAUCUUUCAUAUUUUUUAAACACUGUUGGUAACAGAUAAAUCUAUAUAAUCAUUUUGUAAGGUAAUUCGAUAACACAUUGCAGAUUUUUUCUAAGUGCACAACCAAGUGUUUCUACAAUUAAAACUUUUUUAAAGAAAUAAGCAGAUAACAUGCAAAGAUUUAUAUAUAAGAAUGCUCUUUACAUUCUUGCUUAUGAUGGCAAAAAUAUAGAUCUAUCAUCUUUGUUCUCAUCCCUUUGUCUCGCCACCCUUUUUCUUCUGAAAACUAAUUUUAUUUUCUGCAAUGUUGCUUCUUUUCUUAUGAAGACUUUUUAAAAAACCCAUUGCAUUUUUAGUUUAUUAAAUCUUCCCUUUUCUCAUUCAACCACUUUUAAAUGUUGUCCUUUUUUAAAAGAUUACUUUCCAUUGUCUCAGUUUAUAGACUUGCCUCUGAUCUUUCCUGUUAUUUCUUUCCUUUCCUUUUUUUUUUUUUUUUUUUUUUUGGAGACAGAGUUUCUUUCUUUCUUGUUGCUCAGGCUGGAGUGCAGUGGUGCAAUCUCGGCUCACUACAACCUCCGCCUCCUGGGUUCAAGUGAUUCUUCUGCCUCAGUCUCUUGAAUAGCUGGGAUUACAGGUGCCCACCACCACGCCUGACUAAUUUUUUGUAUUUUUAGUAGAGAUGGGUUUUCAUCAUGUUGGCCAGGCUGGUCUCGAACUUCAGACCUCAGGUGAACCACCAGCCUCGGCCUCCCAAAGUGCAGGGAUUACAGGCGUGAGCCACUGUGCCUGGCCUCCUCUGUUAUUUCAUAAGAGCAGGUUCUCUUGACUUUUUCCUCAACGUGGCUCCAUUUGCCCUAAAACUAUUAGGAAUCUCUUGAGUGUUGUGACAGGUCAAUGGUACCCUUCCAUAGUUUCUAGUACCAAUUCUGGGGUUAAACCAUUCUUGAAUUUCAAUAGGAAGAUGUUAAUUGAGGUUUUAGACAGCUGUGUUCAUGCUGCCAUCCUAACCAGGAAAUGCUCUUUGGAUUGUGCUAUAUAUAGUAUUGAUAGCAGUGUGAUGAUUAUAGCAGCAGUGUGAUGACUAUAGCAGCAAUGUGAAUAACAGACAAGAGGGAUGUCCAGAUCUAAGACAGAGGACCUAUUUAUGGGGAUAUAAAAAAUAUUCUAGGAGAAAAAAAGAAAAUGAGGGUACAAACUAAACCUACUUCAUCAAAAUGGAGAACAGAGGGUAAAUUUGAAAAUUAUUUAAUUGGUAUUAAUUACAAACAUGGUGGUUUAUUCAUGUGGGGAUUGAGGGAAAAAUGACAUAAAGAGAAUUUUUCACAAAUAUCUACCUUGGAUGACUGGGCUAAGGAUAGAUUGCUAAUUGAGACAGGAAAUAGUUGAUGAAAAUCAGAAUUCUGACAUUUGGACAAUAAUUUCAGUUGGAACUUACAGAGUUUGAGUUAUUUAAAAGAAAGUAGGUGGAAAUGCCAACUAAACAAUUCAAAAUAUAAAAAUGAAUCUUAAGUUUGGAGAUGGAGAUACGGAUUUGAGCAUUUUCGAUGGACUGUAGUUAAAACCAGAAAGAAGGGAGGAGAAUAGGCUGAGGGUGGAACCCAGAACACCAAUAUUUAAGAAGUGGUUAGAAGAAAAUCUAGCGAUGGGGGCUGAGAAGCAACAGUUUAAUAAUUAGAAUUAGGCUCUGAGAGUGCGGCAUCACGAAAGCCAAAUUAGGAGAAAGUUUCAAAAGGAAAGAAUAGCCAAAGCAUCAAAGGGACUAGAGCCAUCACAGGAGGGGAUUGAAGAGUGGCCAUAGGAGAUGGUGAUUCUGUCAUUAGCAAUCUCAGAGCUGGAUCACUGGACUGUCAGAUGGAAUCUGUUGGAAUGUUGUAGUGGCUUUAGGAGUUAGAAAAAGCUGACGAAGCUUGGCUGAAAAAGGAAAGGAAGACAUGUCUUUCAAUUACCUAUGAAAUAUUUCCUUGCCUUUUUUUUCAACUUUAUGUACAUCUUUAUUAAAGUAAAAAUUCAGAAAAGUGUGCAAAUCCCAAAUGUGCAAGUCAGCGAAUGCUCACAAAGCAAAUACACUCACGUACACUCCUGUAACCCACACACAGUCAAGAAACACACUGCCAGAUUCUCAAAAGCCUCUUUUGUGGUCCCUCCUUUCACUACCCAUCCCCCAUUUCUACCAAGCAUAACCAUUAACUUGACUUUUAACACCGUAAGUCAACUUGUUGUCUCUGUACUUCUCCGUCUUUUGAAAUAAAACUUACCUAAUGUAAUUUAAUAUUUUUUCAACAAGUUAAGAUCAUUAUUAUGAAUAUUAAUUACAGGAUGAGGCAGUAGUAGGAUUAUUGGUCUUGUAUUCCUAGAUCCUGGCAGAGGACCUGAAGCAUAAUGGAUGCUGCCAAAUUAGUUGAGUGAAGGAAUGGAUCUUCAUAAUCCAUUCCCAUGCUAUUAAUCUUACUAUUUCCCAGUGUUUUUAUUUUUUAUUUUUUUAAUUAUUAUUAUUAUUAUUUUUGAGACGGAGUCUCCAUCUGUCGCCCAGGUUGGAGUGCAGUGGCGCGAUCUCCGCUCACUGCAAGCUCCGCCUCCCGGGUUCACGCCAUUCUCCUGCCUCAGUCCCCGAGUAGCUGGGACUACAGGCGCCCGCCACCACGCCCGGCUAAUUUUUUGUAUGUUUUAGUAGAAACGGGGUUUCACCGUGUUAACCAGGAUGGUCUCGAUCUCCUGACCCCAUGAUCUGCCCGCCUCGGCCUCCCAAAAGUGCUGGGAUUACAGGCGUGAGCCACCACGCCUGGCCGCUACAUACCAGUUUUUUUAGUAAGACUUUCUCAAAGCCAUUGCAAGUGCUUUGGAUUCAAAAAAACUAGCUAAAGAAUUUACUUUCUCCUAGAGUAUGCAGAUAUUGGCAAGAAAAAUGCUACACCAAAACAAGAAUUAGAACUGUUCAUUUAUCUCUGAGAAAUACUUUUUAGCUUGAUCCUUCCUUCAGCAUUUUUAUACAUCCUGCUCUUUAUUUCUACUGCUGUUCAGGACUGUCUCCUAACAACCUUCCUAAAUUGUCAAUUCUACAAUUAAUUAGCAAAAUCCCUGACUCAUUUGUUCUCCUCUAAACUCUUGUAUAGCUUUAAUACAUGCAGUUGUUGUUAUUAAUAGCAAGAUCCUUAAGAACUAGAACUUAUUUUAUUCCUUAAACCAUGGAGAUAGACCCUAAAAUCAUAUAGCUCUGUAUGCAACUCCAAAAUAUUUAUAUAUUUUUGUUAUAAAAUAAAUUCAUUUGUAGUGAAAACUAGCCGAGUGGAAAUGCGAUUAGAAAUCAACUGUCAUUGAUUUCAUAUGACUCUGUUAAUUGCCAUUCCUUCCACAUAUUCUCCAUUCUAUUUAAUUUGCUCAGAUACCAUUAAAAUAUUAUCCUCAAGGAAACUUACAGGGAUUCAAACAUUUAAGAUUAAAACCAUAAGUGAAAACUGCUUCUCUGCCCAUACUCUCCAUGCGUGUUCCUAACAAAAGCAAAGAUUAAAUCAAAUCCUUUCUUGCAUUUGGAUGGCGCAUUUAACUCACUCUGCCUGAACAAUACGUCCAUUAUGACAAAGUACCACCAUUACUUCUAUGAAGAGAUAGAAGGUAUUUUUUUCUGUUCAGAAAAAGAAACUAAAUUUUUUUUGUAAAACCUAGGUUGUGUGAUUAUAUGAAAAGCUAUAUUUGUAAACAUAAGAGACUCUUAUCAAAAACAAAAUAUAAUAUUCUUGUUAUAAAGUGUGAUUUUUUUCUAUAAUGAGCUAUAAAGAGCAAAAAAUUCAGAUAUGAAAUAUUCUACGGCUCUAGGAAGAAUAGACUUUUUGAAUCAUAAAUAUUUUAUAUGAGAGAAUACCAACUGACAGUUCUAGGUGUUCUAGAGUAUGUAUUAUUUAAACCCCAGCUAAUUUAUAUAGAGAACAGAUAUAACUAAUGAUUGAAGCAAAGGUAAAAGCACAAAAUUCAAGAAAUAUAAAAGGGAAAGGGCAGAAAAGGCAAUUUGGUUGUACCAGAAGGCCUGGCCUCAGGAUAGCUAUUGACUUAAGGAAAAAAAAUUAGCUUUGACCUUCAUAGUCAAGCCAAAAGAUACAGGGUUUUUUAGUUACACGGGUUUUUAAAAUAUAAUAAAAAGAAUCAUACCAGUUAGGAAAACUUCUUCCUAGUAUUAAACUCUAAAACAGGUUAAUCAUAUGGAUCUUCAUGUUGACCAUACAGGACAAAAUAAUAUUUAAAAAAAUAAAUAUCUUAUAUAUAAGUUUCAGAAAUAUUAAGGGCAUUAUGGAAGUUUAUGUCACAGUAUGUCAAUAUAAGUUGUGGUACUUUCAAGGCAAAUAUAAACUUCAGUUUGUUAAUUGGGUUUUCAUUGUUUCAAGCCGGUUUUAAAAUAUCGACAUUCAGUAUCUUUAAACAGCUUUACAUUCGCAAAACUUUUUUUAAGAAGCAAAAAUUGAAAGGUAAGGGGAGCUAAGAAGGAAAGAACAAGGAAUUGAUGUUAAUAUUUACUGAACAUCUUCUCAGGCUGAGCAAUGCUACAUUAGUGACACCACAAUUCAUUUGUGUUGACUGCAACGUCUUUGCUGCAGUCUAUAUUUUUGGCUACCUGUUUUCUGCAUUUAUGAGGUAUGAAGAGGCUAAAUGUGUAAGAAUCUGUACAGCAAAAAUAAGACCUGUGUUUCUUAAUCUUAGUUUCCAGGUUUUUCCAUAGAACAGCCUUUUGGUCUCUUCAGAUGUGUGGGUUUAUUAUAUAUAAUAAUUUCAAAUGUUUUUAUCAACACAACAAGCACUUGACAUUUACAACUUGGGCAAAAUACUGGACAUUUGUUUCUGGACAAAUGGAGACCUAUAUCUAAUUAUUCAACAUUUUCCUCUUUUAUUCAAAUUAUUCCUCUUUUGAAAAAUGGUUUUAUACAUAAAUUUAAAAAUUAUUUUUGUGAAAAAAAUUUUAUUAAUGAAAGAAGGUAUAGAAGAUUGAAUGUUUUCUUCCUUACAUAAUGUUUUUUAUUUCCUUAUGGUCUUCUUGUUUCAUCAUACAUUUUCUACAUGUUUUACUUUCAUCGCAAGCUACUACAACAGAAUUCAAAAAUACAAGAUUCUUAAGCCCAAAACAUUGCAGAAGAAUGAGAAAUGGUACUUAUUAACUAUGUACAGUGCUGCAAACUUCUGGCAAUUAAUUUCAAUUAAGUUAUUUACAAGGUGUGCCACUGCUAACUUUGUGCCCAGAUGUUUCAUUUGGCAACAUGUGAUGGCCACCAAUGUAGUCAAUUUCAGUAACAAUCACUCAUUGAUGGAAUUUUCACACUGAAUUCACAGCACCUUCAUAACAUUAGUACAUGAUGUCAUCACCCUUUGCCUCAUCAUAACCGUAAAAAUGCCAAUACGAGUUGCAACAAAUUACUGCGAGCAAUUUCUUAGUUCUAGAGAUGUUGUAGUGAACACCUGGGCUGGCUCAGAAUCUAGCAGCUUUCAAAGUUUCGUUACCAGAUGUUUGUGGAACAACUUAUGCAUGUAUGGAAAACAUAUUUUUUUUUUUCAUUUGCAUGAACGAUUACCAGACCUUUGGAAGUAGUGGAAACACAUGUUUUAUGAAAAAAGAAAGUUAAUAAGGGUUCAUUAGGGAAAUAUUUUUAUUUAAAUCAGCAUGGUUGGUCUUAAACAUUGUGAACUGAACUGCAGAAUCAUGCUUGUAUGCAAUUAUUUGUUUAUGUAGUAAAACACGUCCUCACAAAUUAGGCAGUAUUGUGAUCAUAACUUUCUUGGGUGAAGAAAAGAACUUAUGAAAGUUUUAAUAAUAUUAAAUUUUUUAAACCAGCUUUUAAAGUAUCUGAUUUUGUUUAAUAAUUUUGUAAAUUUUCAGAAUAAUAUUUAUUAUAA
rnacentral:lncRNA from 1 species